UACGAAGGGGGCUAGCGUUGUUCGGAUUUACUGGGCGUAAAGCGCACGUAGGCGGACUAUUAAGUCAGGGGUGAAAUCCCGGGGCUCAACCCCGGAACUGCCUUUGAUACUGGUAGUCUUGAGUUCGAGAGAGGUGAGUGGAAUUCCGAGUGUAGAGGUGAAAUUCGUAGAUAUUCGGAGGAACACCAGUGGCGAAGGCGGCUCACUGGCUCGAUACUGACGCUGAGGUGCGAAAGCGUGGGUAGCAAACAGG
rnacentral:rRNA from 1 species